rnacentral:snRNA from 1 species
AGCUUUGCGCAGUGGCAGUAUCGUAGCCAAUGAGGUUUAUCCGAGGCGCGAUUAUUGCUAAUUGAAAAAAGUCAAACUGACAAAAUGCUAAAUUAUUCAUUAUUCUAUCUUCCUCCCAUGAUA